UCUCGCCGAAGCAGACCCACCGAGCGAGAGAGAGAGAGAGAGAAAGAGAGAGUUCAAAUGAGAGAGAGAGGAGAGGAACAGAGAGUGAGACCGGAGAGAGAGAGAGUGAAAUAGGGAGAGAGAUGCUGAGAGAGGGGAAGUGAGAGAUCAGGAGACAGAGAGAGAGAUCGACGGGAGAGGAGAGAACCGGCGACCCGUCGACCUAGGUGGCGCGAUUCCUGUGGCCAGAACCGAAAUCCGGCGAGGCAGGGAGAGGUCCGGCGGGUUGUGAAACCAGAGGAGGCCGUGCCUCCAUGGGUCAUCGGAGGCACGAUUUUUGGCGGUUCCGGUGGCGAUUCCGGUGAACCCGUGACUCAGUGACCCGUUGACCCGAGACCCGGUGGCUUGAAGGCUGAUUUUUCGGCGAAACCUAGGGGGAAUUUCCGGUGGUUUCCCUUAGCCUAAAUAGAAACUUUCAAAGGGGAUGAGCGAUUAGGUCAUUCGGGAUUGGUCCUUUUGGACGUGCCAAACAUAACGUGCGCCGCACAUAGUUAAAUUGCGGAGGUGGGCCGGUGGAGGGUAAAACUGACACACUAUAUAAAUGAUUCAAGCACCAUGCUGCAUUAGAUCUAUUUAUAUGUUAUUUAACUCUUUCUUUACCUGCUAAUUAUAUGUGAAUUUUAUUUAGAAUUUCUGAAAAAUAUCAUACUUUUGUUUGUUGUGU